AUUGAACGCUGGUGGCAUGCUUUACACAUGCAAGUCGAACGGCAGCGGGGUAGUGCUUGCACUACUGCCGGCGAGUGGCGAACGGGUGAGUAAUAUAUCGGAACGUACCGAGUAAUGGGGGAUAACCAAUCGAAAGAUUGGCUAAUACCGCAUACGUCCUGAGGGAGAAAGCGGGGGAUCGCAAGACCUCGCGUUAUUCGAGCGGCCGAUAACUGAUUAGCUAGUUGGUGGGGUAAAGGCCUACCAAGGCGACGAUCAGUAGCGGGUCUGAGAGGACGAUCCGCCACACUGGGACUGAGACACGGCCCAGACUCCUACGGGAGGCAGCAGUGGGGAAUUUUGGACAAUGGGGGCAACCCUGAUCCAGCCAUGCCGCGUGUAUGAAGAAGGCCUUCGGGUUGUAAAGUACUUUUGUUAGGGAAGAAAAGGGAAGUGCUAAUACCACUUUUUGCUGACGGUACCUAAAGAAUAAGCACCGGCUAACUACGUG
rnacentral:rRNA from 1 species